rnacentral:misc_RNA from 1 species
CUCAGCUCAAUGUGCAAAUUCUCAGGAAAUCCAAUGAGACCACCAAGUCUCUGAUAUGUGCUCUCAAUAACAUCUCUUCGUGACCUUGCUUUGCCUCCUUACCCUUUGCUGCAGUUUCUUCAAUCUACCAUGACACCUCUACAUCUCAAUCUAAAUCCGAUGUCUCUGCGCUUCAUACUUUGCCGUCUGAAUGUGUGGCCAUCUUGGUACGGAAACGAAUCAGACGAGCUUGUUCCAAUUCGAUUCGAGUUCGAGUUUCCAAGUCAAGCGAACAAAGAGUAGAUUUGAAUCAUUGUUGUUGUUGUUGGUGUUUAUCACUGUCUCAGUCUUUUACUAGUAAAUGGAUGGCCAACUUGGUUUU